GGUCUUGGGGAGCCAGGCACAGGGUUGGGAUCUCAGAAGGCUGUGCUCUUGGGGUAUCUCUGCCAUGGCCUGGGCUCUGGUCCUCUUCACUCUCCUCACUCAGAACAUAGGUUCCUGGGCCCAGUCUUCCCUGAAUCAGCCUCCCUCUGUGUCUGGGAAUCCAGGAAGCACAGUCACCCUCUCCUGCACUGGCACCAGCAAUGACAUUGGGAAAUAUAAUUAUGUCUCCUGGUACCAACAGCUUGAAGGCACAUCCCCCAAACUCCUGAUUUAUAACGUAAAUACCCGGCCCUCAGGGAUCCCUGGUCGCUUCUCUGGCUCCAAGUCUGGCAACACAGCCUCGUUGACCAUCUCUGGGCUCCAGAAUGAAGAUGACGCUGAUUAUUACUGUUCCUCAUAUGCUGGUAGUUACAGUUAUGUUGUCUUCGGUGCAGGGACGCAUUUGACCGUCACUGGCCAGCCCAAGUCAGCACCAUCUGUCACGCUGUUCCCGCCCUCCCAUGAGGAGCUCAGAGCCGACAAGGCCACCCUGGUGUGCCUCAUCAGUGACUUCUACCCCAGCGGCUUCACGGUGGCCUGGAAGGCAGAUGGUACCACUGUCACCCAAGGUGUGGAGACCACCAAGCCCUCCAAACAGAGCAACAACAAGUACGCAGCCAGCAGCUACCUGAGCCUGUCGCCUGACCAGUGGAAAGCUCGCAGGAGUUUCACCUGCCAGGUCACACAUGAGGGGAGCACCGUGGAGAAGAAUGUGGUCCCCGCAGAGUGCUCUUAGGUGCCUGAGACACCUUGCCUCCCACGUGGAUGUGCAGCCAUUGAACCUCCA